GACGAACGCUGGCGGCGUGCUUAACACAUGCAAGUCGAACGGAAAGGCCCUGCUUUUGUGGGGUGCUCGAGUGGCGAACGGGUGAGUAACACGUGAGUAACCUGCCCUUGACUUUGGGAUAACUUCAGGAAACUGGGGCUAAUACCGGAUAGGAGCUACUGCUGCAUGGUGGGGGUUGGAAAGUGUCGGCGGUUGUGGCUGGAUUCGCGGCUUAUCAGCUUGUUGGUGGAGUAGUGGCUUACAAAGGCUUUGACGGGUAGCCGGCCUGAGAGGGUGACCGGGCACAUUGGGACUGAGAGACGGCCCAGACUCCUACGGGCGGCAGCAGUGGGGAAUAUUGCGCAAUGGGCGGAAGCCUGAUGCAACAACGCCGCGUGCGGGAUGACGGCCUUCGGGUUGUAAACCGCUUUCGCCUGUGACGAACCGUGAGUGACGGUAAUGGGUCAAGAAGCACCGGCUAACUACGUG
rnacentral:rRNA from 1 species